UCGGCCACUAGUUGGCGCUAACGAGUUUUAUGGCUCUGUAAUCACGUGGUGUUUCACAUAUCAACGCAAUAUACAUAUCAUUUGAUAGAUCUCCUCAUAAUGCACAACUUUGCCUCAAGAACCAUUGCUGUCAAUCAAAUCGUUCAAUUGUUAUUCACAAAUAUGUUAAAAACCUACUUUUGCGAACUAGUCCUAGGUUUUUUGUCCGAUCGGAACCAAACCAAUGCAGUAAUAUUCUGUGGACUCUCUAGAUCAAUAAUUAUUAAAAAAAUGUUGAAUUUUGUCCUUUGGUUAGCUGUAAAGAGAUAAUUUAGAAAAAGGGGUGUGGCCAAACAUACCCCAAAGCCUAUAAAACCUAAACGAAAACUCAAAACUUUAUGAACCUUGGUGAAAUCAUGUAACAGAUGAUUCUUAACAAGCAUGCAAAGUUUCAUGGAGAUCAGACCAUAGGUGGCGCUAUAACAGUAGAAAAGGUCUCAAAACACAAGAUUUAUAUGGUAAAUGGCCCCAAAUUGUUUGAAAAUGCUCAUAUAUUCACUCAAAAACACUAAAUCUUCAUAUCAUAUGAUAGAUCUCCUCAUUCUGAACAACUUUGCCUCUGGGACCAAUGUUGUCAAUAAAGCUGUUAAUUAAAUAUUCAAGAUUAUUUUAAAAAGUUACUUUGGCAUACUUGUGAUACGGUUUAAGAUGAAAAUCAAUAAAACCACUGAAGUACAAUUCUGUAGACUCUGAAGGUCAAUAAUUAUCAAAAACAUGUUGAACAAUUGCAUUUGGACAACUAUAAACCAGUAAUUUUAUAAUAUGUUCUUUUCAUAGUGUACACAAAGGCCUAUUAAUACAAACAGAAAGCCCACACAUUAUCAAAACUGUGUAAAACAAUGCAUAAUUUCAUUCUAAACAAGCAUGCAAAAUUUAAGAGAGAUUGGGCAAAAAAAAAAAAAAACACUAUAACA